GACGAACGCUGGCGGCGUGCUUAACACAUGCAAGUCGAACGGGUCUGCCCUGUUUUUUGCGGGGUGGGUCAGUGGCGAACGGGUGAGUAACACGUGAGUAACCUGCCCCUCACUUCUGGAUAACCGCUUGAAAGGGCGGCUAAUACGGGGUGUUCUGGCUGUGCCGCAUGGUGUGGCUGGGAAAGAUUCACUUUUGUGGUGUUUUGGUGGGGGAUGGGCUCGCGGCCUAUCAGCUUGUUGGUGGGGUGAUGGCCUGCCAAGGCUUUGACGGGUAGCCGGCCUGAGAGGGUGGGCGGUCACACUGGGACUGAGAUACGGCCCAGACUCCUGCGGGAGGCAGCAGUGGGGGGUAUUGCACAAUGGGCGGAAGCCUGAUGCAGCGACGUCGCGUGAGGGAUGGAGGCCUUCGGGUUGUGAACCUCUUUCGCCGGUGAAGAAGGUCCUGCUCUUUGUGGUGGGGUUGACGGUAGCCGGGUUAUGAAGCGCCGGCUAACUACGUG
rnacentral:rRNA from 1 species